UACGGAGGGGGCUAGCGUUGUUCGGAAUUACUGGGCGUAAAGCGCACGUAGGCGGUCUGUUAUGUCGGGUGUGAAAGCCCUCAGCUUAACUGAGGAAGUGCGCCCGAAACUGGCAGACUUGAGUGCCGGAGAGGAUAGCGGAACACCCGGUGUAGAGGUGAAAUUCGUAGAUAUCGGGUAGAACACCAGUGGCGAAGGCGGCUAUCUGGACGGACACUGACGCUGAGACGCGAAAGCGUGGGGAGCAAACAGG
rnacentral:rRNA from 1 species